rnacentral:lncRNA from 1 species
AUGUACGCAGUCCAUACCUCUACCUCUGAUGAAGUAGAAAGGCUGUUUCCGAAAAACCCCCGGCUCAAGUGACGAGAUAUCACACAAACACAUAGUACAGCACAGAAGCAGAUGACAUAACAUAGAUACGGCACCCAUAAGGAAUAUAAAACAGAGUAGAGCGGGAAUGCAGGAAUAUAAAGCAGAGGAAAGCACACAUAUUCGUAAUAAAUAUGGAACACGGAACACGAAACAUUGAAUACGGAAUCAUAACAGGAA